rnacentral:rRNA from 1 species
CCCUUAGAGUUUGAUCCUGGCUCAGAUUGAACGCUGGCGGAAUGCUUUACACAUGCAAGUCGAACGGCAGCACGGGGGCAACCCUGGUGGCGAGUGGCGAACGGGUGAGUAAUACAUCGGAACGUGCCCAGUCGUGGGGGAUAACGUAGCGAAAGCUACGCUAAUACCGCAUACGAACUCUGGUUGAAAGCGGGGGAUCGCAAGACCUCGCGCGAUUGGAGCGGCCGAUGGCAGAUUAGGUAGUUGGUGGGGUAAAGGCUCACCAAGCCGACGAUCUGUAGCUGGUCUGAGAGGACGACCAGCCACACUGGGACUGAGACACGGCCCAGACUCCUACGGGAGGCAGCAGUGGGGAAUUUUGGACAAUGGGCGCAAGCCUGAUCCAGCCAUUCCGCGUGCAGGAUGAAGGCCCUCGGGUUGUAAACUGCUUUUGUACGGAACGAAACGGCUCUGGUUAAUACCCGGGGCUAAUGACGGUACCGUAAGAAUAAGCACCGGCUAACUACGUGCCAGCAGCCGCGGUAAUACGUAGGGUGCGAGCGUUAAUCGGAAUUACUGGGCGUAAAGCGUGCGCAGGCGGUGAUGUAAGACAGGUGUGAAAUCCCCGGGCUUAACCUGGGAACUGCAUUUGUGACUGCAUCGCUGGAGUGCGGCAGAGGGGGAUGGAAUUCCGCGUGUAGCAGUGAAAUGCGUAGAUAUGCG